UCGUGGCGCAGAUCACGACUCCCUACCUCUCUCGAUCAGAUCGCGCUCGCCCCUUCCAGACGCGCGCCUUGCGCUCGCCCUGCGCCACCGCCGCCGCUGCCGAUCCGGUCUCCACACCGCGCCGCCGCCCCUCGCCUCUCCACCGCGUCGGUCUCCUCUGCGAGCGCCGUCGCCCCCCCCUCCCUCUCCACCGCGCCGGUCUCCUCCGACAAACUGCUGCGGCGACUUCCUCCUCGGCCUCCGCCUCAACCGCCACCGAUACGGAGCCACGCCGCUGAUUCCUCCAGAUCAGGCACCACCAAGUCGUCGUCCAUCGUGCCUCCUCCACCAGUCGCGCUGCCCCGCCGCCACGAUUCACCACCGCCAGGUCAUUGUACAGCAGUGUCGAUACCCCUCCCAACCACUCGGCCUGCUCUGCUCCGUCCCUUCUCAUGAAAAAAAAACCUAAACUGCAACUCCUCCGCCGCCGCCACAUUUGCCGACUGCUCCUGACGACCGAGAGAAAUGUGAUCCCUCGCCGCCCCAAAGAAGCGACCUGAGACCAACGACAGUCACGGCCACCAGCAGCCAGGGCCAGCGAGAUGCUAUAUUGAACAGCAGGGCAACAUGCAUAUCUCUGAAUUUGCAUGUAAUUUUCUGAAUUUGCAGGUAUUUCGCUGAGUUUAACUUGCAGUGCAAAUGCAGGUAUCCAUUAAAUGACGAUGAUCACUAAUUUUAAAAGAUUCCUCAAACUACAUUGUGCCGAAAUUGUUUGGUUCUGCUUGAAUUAUUGCUUCAUCGGGCAUCAGCUGCAUAGUAUGAGACUGAGUUUGCUAGAGACAAAUAGGAUAAUGACUUUUUAAAAAGUACAGGACAACAUGGCUAAAAUCCAUAAGGAUCGAUUUUGUGUGAUGUUUUAUGAAUAUGGAGCCACGCCGCCGUCCCUCCGCUGCCGAAGGUACAUAACCCCUUCUCCCCAAUCCUCGCCCCCCUAAAUCCCCCUGCCAUCGAUCUUCCAUCAACGCGGCGACGCUGGCAGUAUUCAACACAAUGCAGUAAACACAAUGAAUCAGGGAAUGAAUUGAACAAAUGGCGACGGUCGUUCUGUGUAGAAAAUGGUUCAUUGGAUAUAGUAUUGGAUGUUGUAUUGCCUAUUCUCUGUAGAUUUUGUAGUUGUUAGAACUUUACAUAUAUGGUGACACUUAUUGCAUUGAUACUCUCCUGAUGAUUUUUGGUUUUCAUCACUUAGCUGUCCAUGUUGAUUUGUAUCGUGUUUUGACAGUAGUAAUAAUAUUAAGACUAUAUCAUUUUUCUAAACAUGCAUGCAAGCCUGCAAAUUUGUUGGCUGACCAAGUCUAGCUGCAAGAGACAUCAAGUCUAUACAUAACUAAAAUGCACAAAAUAAGCAUUUUUGUAUGUUGUUGAUUUUCUAACGAAUGGUUUCCAUAGUCUAUGAGCAGAUAUCAUCCAAUAUUUAUGUAUGUUGUUGGCUUUGCAUCUGACUAUUGGAACUGUUGGAUAAUGAAGCUAACAUAUAAAGAGUGGUUUGGUUAGGCUUUGGGCCUGAAGUUUCAACAUUAUUGAUUUGAUUAUUUGAUCACAUUUUCUACUUGCCAUACUAAUCAAAACGCCAUGGCUAGCUACCUGCAGGAUUUGAUUAUUUUUCCUCAGAUUUACAAACAAAACUGAAUCUGCAUGCUACCUUGUUCAGGCCUCAUUCAGAUCACUUUCAUGGCUAGCUACCUGCAGGUGAUCUCUCUACGGAACCGAAGAUCACGAUGCAACGCUGGCAUAGUAUUGAUCAAUUGAGUGUCACUGCCAAGAGCUCCAUGACCUAGGUCAACAGGCAACCAAUUUUCGUUGUAUGGAAACUGAAAGCAGUGAAUAAGCUCUGGAAGAAUGGACUGCAUUCCUUCAUGUAAGAGCAUUUUACAUUUUUGUCAUUUUUUCUUAUUUGAUUAUUAUCAUUGUCUCCCAAGUGCCUUUUUCUAUAGUGUGUACUGUAACAUGAACAUUCCUGAGAAAACGGUUCAUUUAAUAUCAUCAUAAUGCCUAUAUGAUUUAUGUGUUCAUUUUAAUAUACUGAAAUUGCCAUGUGUUGGAUUUACAGCUAUGAAGUUCUAUGUUUAGCAGAUGGUAUUGUUCUUUGCAGGUAUGAAAAUUAUCUGUAUGCUUCUUUGCAGGUAUGUGUCUCUAGCAAAGAUUUAGCAAAAAUUAGGAAAAAAAUAUAAACUACACAAAAGGAAUAUGUACUUUAAGUCAUUUGUGACACUACUGGAGAAGAGGUCUUUGAAGGGUCGGCCGAUUUCCACAAUAGUCCCGGUUCCAAAACGAACCGGGACUAAAGUGUCUUAUUAGUCCCGGUUUAUUACUUCAACGGGACGAAGGGAUCUUUAGUCCCGGUUGGUAAUUUUUAGUCCCGGUUCGCCUCCUGACAGGACAUGUCAGACCUCUGUCGGGAGGCUUGGGAUCUUUAGUCCCGGUUCGUGUUACCAACCGGGACUAAAGAUCAUAUCUUUAGUCCCGGUUGGUAAUAUAAACCGGGACUAAAGUGAUUUGAGAUCUUUAACCAACCGGGACUAAAGUUGCACAGCUUUAUAUGCCCCUUCUUCCUCCUCCAGCCCGAGCCAUUGCUUCAAAAUUAAGCUUUGAGGGAGGGAGGUGCUGUCAAAAUUUUAAGAAAAUUUUUUUGGUGGUAAUAUACAAAUUUGAGGUCUUCAAAAGGUUAGCAACUUCAUCCUACUCUUUGUUUUGCUUAGCAUCUACAUUUGGAGCUAUUCUUUUUACAUAUUUUUCCCUCUAGAAAAUGUGAUGGAAUAUGAUGAGAGAGAAAGUGUGUGUAGGGAAUAAAGAAGAUUAUAAAUACUUGUUUGAAUAAUUACAUAUAAUUUUGUAUGAAUUAUAAAACUAAGCUAAUUUAAUAUUAAAAUAAGAAAAACAUAUUAAAUAUUUGUUUAUAAUGUAAUUAAAACAUGAAAAAUAUGUACAAUGAAUUUAAUAAUAAUGAUUAAUUGUAUGAAUAAUUAUAUUCAAUUAUUGUAUUAUUAUGUAAUUACCUCGUAAAUCUUGGAUUUUGUAUAAUUACGAUUUAUAUGUAUUUCAUAUAGAUGGAUCGGCAAUGGAUGUACGUGGAUCGGCGGUCGAAAGAGUUUAUUGACGGCGUGCAUUAUUUUUUUGUGUGGCCAAUGAUAACAAGCGUAACGGUUUUAUAAGUUGUCCAUGCGACAUGUGCAAAAACCAGAAGGAGUAUUCCACCACACGAACUAUUCAUGCCCACCUGUUUCAGUGGGGGUUCAUGCGUAGCUACAAUUGUUGGACAUCGCACGGAGAGGUUGGGAUUGCAAUGGAAGAAGAUGAAGUAGAAGAUGAGAACAUUCCGGACUGGGCUCAGUAUGGCGGAUUUGAAGAAAACACAAUGGGCGAGGCGAAGCUGGAUGUUGAAGGGAAUGACGGUGUUGAUAAACUUGGUCAAAUAUUGCGGGACUUACAGGAGGACUGCGAAAGUGAAAAGGAGGUUGUAGACCCCCGUUUUUAUAACAGGAAUCAAUCGUGUAAACAGUACCAUUUCCCUGGAUCAAGUUGUCUGGUACACACGAAUUCAUAGCUGAAA